AGAGUUUGAUCCUGGCUCAGAAUCAACGCUGGCGGCGCGCUUAACACAUGCAAGUCGAGCGAGAAAGGGGCGACCUGAGUAAAGCGGCGUACGGGUGAGUAACACGUGGAUGAUCUACCUUUUAGUGGGGAAUAACCUUGCGAAAGCGAGGGUAAUACCGCAUAAGCCUGAAGAGGGAAAGCAGCAAUGCGCUGAAAGAGGAGUCCGCGGCCGAUUAGCUAGUUGGUGAGGUAAAGGCUCACCAAGGCGACGAUUGGUAGCCGGCCUGAGAGGGCACACGGCCACACUGGCACUGGGAUACGGGCCAGACUCCUACGGGAGGCAGCAGUGGGGAAUCUUGCACAAUGGAGGAAACUCUGAUGCAGCGACGCCGCGUGAGCGAUGAAGCCCUUCGGGGUGUAAAGCUCUUUCGGCAGGGACGAUAAUGACGGUACCUGAAGAAGAAGCUGCGGCUAACUACGUGCCAGCAGCCGCGGUAAUACGUAGGCAGCGAGCGUUGUUCGGAAUUACUGGGCGUAAAGAGUGUGUAGGCGGUGUUCUAAGUUUGGUGUGAAAUCUCCCGGCUUAACUGGGAGGGUGCGCCGAAGACUGGAAUGCUUGAGCGUGGGAGAGGAAAGCGGAAUUCCUGGUGUAGCGGUGAAAUGCGUAGAUAUCAGGAGGAACACCUGUGGUGUAGACGGCUUUCUGGACCAUUGCUGACGCUGAGACACGAAAGCGUGGGUAGCAAACAGGAUUAGAUACCCUGGUAGUCC
rnacentral:rRNA from 1 species